GACGAACGCUGGCGGCGUGCUUAACACAUGCAAGUCGAACGGAAAGGCCCUGCUUUUGUGGGGUGCUCGAGUGGCGAACGGGUGAGUAACACGUGAGUAACCUGCCCUUGACUUUGGGAUAACUUCAGGAAACUAGGGCUAAUCCCGGAUAGGAGCUCCUGCUUCAUGGUGGGGGUUGGACAGUUUCGGCGGUUGGGUAUGGACUCGCGGCUUAUCAGCUUGUUGGUGGGGUAGCGGCUUACCAAGGCUUUGACGGGUAGCCGGCCUGAGAGGGUGACGGGCCACAUGGGGACUGAGCUACGGCCCAGACUCCGACGGGAGGCAGCAGUGGGGAAUAUUGCACAAUGGGCGGAAGCCUGAUGCAGCAACGCCGCGUGCGGGAGGACGGCUUUCGGGUUGUAAACCGCUUUCGCCUGUGACGAAGCGUGAGUGACGGUAAUGGGGAAAGAAGCACCGGCUAAUUACGU
rnacentral:rRNA from 1 species